UCAGACUAUUAACCUCAUCUUUACAGAUGAAACAUUUUUUAAUAUAUACAUCUUUUACUAUGUUUUGAUCAGCUUGAUCUUCAAUUAUCAUCAGGUGUUUUAUUCCUGGAUGUGUACAGACUACUGGACUGGAUUUUAACUGUGGAGCUUUACUCCUAAACUAAGGGCACAUUUGGGGACAAGUGAUUUCAACUGUUCUGAUUACAUAAAAGAGAUGGCAGAGGGAAAUGAAGAAAUUUGAGGGUGACCCUGAACUGACAGACUUAUGUGUCAGUAGGUUGCUCUAUUUGUUUCUUGUCUUUAAAUUAUAUGCAUGUUUUACACAUUCUUUUAAUUAUUUUGUAUAACCAUUAUGAGAAAUUUUAGACAUUUUUAGCAUGUCCUAAUAUACUGUAUGACAUUUUUUUCCAUUCCAUUCCACUCCACACUUUUUUGUAUAACUUUGUAUCUUCACACAUUUUGUAAUAUUUUUAUAACUUGUACCCUGUACAUAUGAAUGGGCCCUAGUGGCACAAUAAAAUAAAUUAUUAUUAUUAUUAUUAUUAUUAUUA
rnacentral:lncRNA from 1 species